GGCGGCGGCGGCCGGAGCUGGAGGGGGAGGAGGGGAGGAACCUGAUCCUCGGUAGCGAAGGGCUGGAGGCAAACACCGAGCUCCCCCUGAGCCGCCUGGGAGCAGGGAGGGUUCUGCUACCCUGAGGGGCCCUCCCCGCGGGGCAGAGGAGGCUGUUGGGAAGGUGGGAUGACCUAGGAUUGACCUUGGACUUGACAUCACAGAAGCCAUUUCAACCUUCACAGGUGGGAGGAAGUCACAGCAUCUACUUCUGAAUCUGUGCUUGCCUUGAGGAAAAACGGCAUGGCACAGGAAUGUGGACGCUUUCAACCAGAGGAUUCUGUACGACGGUGUCGGCACACAAGGAGUGUUCCACUGACUGACCUCUUUUUGUUUUCAAAUGAAGAGGAGCCAAGAAUAGGACAGCUUGGGAAGGUGAGCUGCGUAUAGCUCGUCAGGCUGAGCUCAUCCUCGUCUACGGCCAAACGUUGGUUUCUCAUUUCUAGAAGAUGAAAGAUGUGAUGACUCAGGAAAAACUGGAAUCUUAGUAACUGUGGUGGGCAUUGAGCCUUGCCGUCCACAAGAGAAAGCUUGCUGCUCGAGAUGUGAGUCUUCAGAUGUUCCUGCCGCCAUAUCUGACAGCUGCUGCCAAGAUUCCCUGGUGGGAUGGACUCUUAUACCUCAACAACCAGAAGCCCAAGUAAACUCUUCUAUAAAUUGAAUGACUCAUGCUUAAAAAAAAAAACAAAAAACAAACUAUCUUUA
rnacentral:lncRNA from 1 species